CCUACGGGAGGCAGCAGUAGGGAAUCUUCCGCAAUGGACGAAAGUCUGACGGAGCAACGCCGCGUGAACGAUGAAGGCCUUCGGGUCGUAAAGUUCUGUUGUUAGGGAAGAACAAGUGCUAGUUGAAUAAGCUGGCACCUUGACGGUACCUAACCAGAAAGCCACGGCUAACUACGUGCCAGCAGCCGCGGUAAUACGUAGGUGGCAAGCGUUGUCCGGAAUUAUUGGGCGUAAAGCGCGCGCAGGCGGUUUCUUAAGUCUGAUGUGAAAGCCCCCGGCUCAACCGGGGAGGGUCAUUGGAAACUGGGAAACUUGAGUGCAGAAGAGGAAAGUGGAAUUCCAAGUGUAGCGGUGAAAUGCGUAGAGGUUUGGAGGAACACCAGUGGCGAAGGCGACUUUCUGGUCUGUAACUGACGCUGAGGCGCGAAAGCGUGGGGAGCAAACAGGAUUAGAUACCCUGGUAGUCCACGCUGUAAACGAUGAGUGCUAAGUGUUAGAGGGUUUUCCGCCCUUUAGUGCUGAAGUUAACGCAUUAAGCACUCCGCCUGGGGANCGGUCGCAGACUGAAACUUGAAGAUGCGNGNGAGNGNGACGACGACGACGAGAGGAG
rnacentral:rRNA from 1 species